rnacentral:rRNA from 1 species
AAACGACUCUCGGCAACGGAUAUCUCGGCUCUCGCAUCGAUSAAGAACGUAGCGAAAUGCGAUACUUGGUGUGAAUUGCAGAAUCCCGUGAACCAUCGAGUCUUUGAACGCAAGUUGCGCCCGAAGCCUUCGGGCCGAGGGCACGCCUGCCUGGGCGUCACGCA